GCGCUGCCUUUGAACCCGCUGCGCCGGCCCGUGGCGCAGGGGGUUAAGCUGCAGCGCCAGAGCAGGUGCUGGCACAUAACUGGGGCCACCAAGCCUCUGCGGGCGGCCCUUUUAACCGCGAGCGACAUGG
ensembl:snoRNA